AGUGAACGCUGGCGGUAGGCCUAACACAUGCAAGUCGAACGGCAGCACAGUAAGAGCUUGCUCUUACGGGUGGCGAGUGGCGGACGGGUGAGGAAUACAUCGGAAUCUACUUUUUCGUGGGGGAUAACGUAGGGAAACUUACGCUAAUACCGCAUACGACCUACGGGUGAAAGCAGGGGAUCUUCGGACCUUGCGCGAUUGAAUGAGCCGAUGUCGGAUUAGCUAGUUGGCGGGGUAAAGGCCCACCAAGGCGACGAUCCGUAGCUGGUCUGAGAGGAUGAUCAGCCACACUGGAACUGAGACACGGUCCAGACUCCUACGGGAGGCAGCAGUGGGGAAUAUUGGACAAUGGGCGCAAGCCUGAUCCGGCCAUACCGCGUGGGUGAAGAAGGCCUGCGGGUUGUAAAGCCCUUUUGUUGGGAAAGAAAAGCAGCAGGUUAAUACCCCGCUGUUCUGACGGUACCCAAAGAAUAAACACUGGCUAACUUCGU
rnacentral:rRNA from 1 species